rnacentral:tRNA from 1 species
GGAUUGUGGCUCAGUGGUAGAGCGCUCGCCUCACACAUGUGAGACCCUGGGUUCGAUCCUCAGCACCG